AUGGCUAUAUCACAUUGAAACACCGGUUCUCAUACGAUCAACGAAGUUAAGCAAAGUCAAACCUGGUCAGUACCUAGAUGAGUGACCGCUUGGCAGUCUUGGUGG